rnacentral:rRNA from 1 species
CGGGGGGCUGCAGCAGUGGGGAAUAUUGGACAAUGGGCGCAAGCCUGAUCCAGCAAUGCCGCGUGAGUGAAGACGGCCUUAGGGUUGUAAAACUCUUUCGCUAGGGAAGAUAAUGACUGUACCUAGUAAAGAAGUCCCGGCUAACUCCGUGCCAGCAGCCGCGGUAAUACGGAGGGGACUAGCGUUGUUCGGAAUUACUGGGCGUAAAGAGUUCGUAGGCGGACUGACAAGUUAGAGGUGAAAUCCCAGGGCUCAACCCUGGAACUGCCUUUAAAACUGUCAGUCUAGAGACCGGAAGAGGUUAGGGGAAUACCUAGUGUAGAGGUGAAAUUCGUAGAUAUUAGGUGGAACACCAGUGGCGAAGGCGCCUAACUGGUCCGGUACUGACGCUGAGGAACGAAAGCGUGGGGAGCAAACAGGAUUAGAUACCCCCGUAGUC